rnacentral:rRNA from 1 species
UACGUAGGGUGCAGGCGUUAAUCGGAAUUACUGGGCGUAAAGCGUGCGCAGGCGGUUUGCUAAGACAGGUGUGAAAUCCCCGGGCUUAACCUGGGAACUGCGCUUGUAACUGGCAAGCUAGAGUGUGGCAGAGGGGGGUGGAAUUCCAGGUGUAGCAGUGAAAUGCGUAGAGAUCUGGGGGAACACCGAUGGCGAAGGCAGCCCCCUGGGCUAACACUGACGCUCAUGCACGAAAGCGUGGGGAGCAAACAGG